CUGGAGUGAUGAUGCUUAGCCAAAUCAGAUAUGUGCUCCAAGAGGGCAUAAAAAUGGGAUUGCCUCUUGUUGUAGCGCGUCUCAGACGAUAUCACAGAGAAUGGUUGUUGUCUGACCAGA